ACAUACGACCAUAGGUAGUGGAGAACUCGGGGUCCCGUCCGCUCCCCCAUAGAUAAGUCACUAACCGGCAGAUUAGUAGUUGGGUGGGUGACCACCAGCGAACACCGGCUGUUGUAUGUU
rnacentral:rRNA from 1 species